GCCCUUAUGAAUUCCCUCCCUCUCAGACCUAAAUAAUGGUCUGAGUGGCUAAAAAGAAGGAAAAGUAAAGUGAACUUGUGGAUGUGGAGUCUUCCAUGACCUACAAAUUCAUUGCAAACAAGU
rnacentral:snoRNA from 1 species